rnacentral:rRNA from 1 species
UUUUUAUGAGAGUUUGAUCCUGGCUCAGGAUGAACGCUGGCGGCGUGCUUAACACAUGCAAGUCGAACGAAGCAUUUAGAACAGAUUACUUCGGUUUGAAGUUCUUUAUGACUGAGUGGCGGACGGGUGAGUAACGCGUGGGUAACCUGCCUUGUACUGGGGGAUAGCAGCUGGAAACGGCUGGUAAUACCGCAUAAGCGCACAA